UACGUAGGGAGCAAGCGUUGUUCGGAAUUACUGGGCGUAAAGGGCGCGUAGGCGGCGACCCAAGUCAGAUGUGAAAGUCCUGGGCUUAACCUGGGGACUGCAUUUGAUACUGGGUUGCUUGAAUUCGGGAGAGGAUAGCGGAAUUCCCAGUGUAGAGGUGAAAUUCGUAGAUAUUGGGAAGAACACCGGUGGCGAAGGCGGGUCUCUGGGCAAUUCCUGACGCUGAGGCGCGAAAGCGUGGGGAGCAAACGGG
rnacentral:rRNA from 1 species